GAUGAACGCUCGCUACAGGCUUAACACAUGCAAGUCGCAGGGUAACAUGAGGAAAGCUUGCUUUCCUUGAUGACGACUGGCGCACGGGUGAGUAACGCGUAUCCAACCUUCCCAUAACUACGGGAUAACCCGUUGAAAGACGGCCUAAUACCGUAUGACAUCGUUUGCUGACAUCAAAUAACGAUUAAAGGUUUAGCGGUUAUGGAUGGGGAUGCGUCUGAUUAGCUUGUUGGCGGGGUAACGGCCCACCAAGGCGACGAUCAGUAGGGGUUCUGAGAGGAAGGUCCCCCACAUUGGAACUGAGACACGGUCCAAACUCCUACGGGAGGCAGCAGUGAGGAAUAUUGGUCAAUGGGCGAGAGCCUGAACCAGCCAAGUAGCGUGCAGGAUGACGGCCCUAUGGGUUGUAAACUGCUUUUAUGUGGGGAUAAAGUGCGUGACGUGUCAUGCAUUGCAGGUACCACAUGAAUAAGGACCGGCUAAUUCCGUG
rnacentral:rRNA from 1 species